UACAGAGGUCCCGAGCGUUGUUCGGAUUCACUGGGCGUAAAGGGUGCGUAGGUGGCAGGGUAAGUCGGAUGGUGAAAGCUCGGAGCUCAACUCCGAAAUGGCAUUGGAAACUACCCAGCUACGAGGGUUGGAGGGGGACUGGAAUGCUUGUGUAGCAGUGAAAUGCGUAGAUAUCAAGCGGAACACCAGUGGCGAAGGCGAGUCC
rnacentral:rRNA from 1 species